UUGUGCCUUAUCAAGUAAUUACGUUACUUUUUACCUAAAAAUAGUUCUUUAUGGACUUUGUUAAAAACAAAUCUAUUGCUGCUGUUAUUCUUAUGUUGCUGCUCCAGAUUCUAAGUACUGAUAUAUUUUGGCGGCUUCUCCCAGUUCCCGAACUUCCAGAUUUUUACUAAUCAAAAGUAAAGAAAUUUUGAUAACUGCUGAAUGAUUGCCGCAUAGGGAAUCGCCGUAUUUUUAUCCUGCAGGAUUUUCCUACGGUGGGCAUCUGAACUUCUUGCUCCGUCUCUUCUUGAUCCUGAAGUCUAUCACUUCCGACUGCCGAGCAUCCAUCCAAUCUGACUGACCAAAUUUGUAUAAAAAAUGAGGGAAACCGGAAAACCCUUGGGAAAACCAUUGAAAAUCGCAUACGGAGUCACCGAAUUUUUCGGCUCAAAAGCAGGCCUGUUCGAAGCGUCAUUAUUUCCCUUUAAAUGCAUCGAAACUUAUGAAAG